GGGGGUACAGUGCAGUGGUAGAGUGUGUACUUGACGUGCACAAGGUCCUGGGUUCAAUCCCCAGUGGCCCCG
rnacentral:tRNA from 1 species